GGAUAACCAAUAUGACUAUUUGGUUACAUUUGGCUUUUGUUGCUUAGUUUAUUCUUACAUAGAUGGGCAGCUGGAUGUUAGGGAAAAACAGGGACAGGAAAGAGACUCCAUCCAGUGGCUCUCUGAAGAUUCACCCUUGUUAUCAGUCACUUGGGAUUCUGUUAUCAGAAUUUGGGAUUGCUUGUUAUCACAGCAUUACCUAGUCUACCCUGACUAAUACAAGGGCACUUUGAGAAUCUGAUGGAAGCUCAGGCCACAAGAAAACUGCACAUUCAUGCAAAAUUCAGAACCUUUCAAUUUUAAUGUCUUGAGAUUUCGUUGUGUUUCUAAGAUCCUUGAUGUCCCACAGCCUCCUCUUCUCAGCCUUGGAAUCUGAGGCACCUGGGUUGUAAGUGAUGCUAUGUCAGUGUUCACAAAGGCUCACAAGUCUGCGAAGUGGCCAAGAUGAGCUGACCCUGUCACCAUGGAGCAAGGCCUAUGUGUGCAAAUGAGUCAUGAGCUGAGAGGAAAGAGCUUGAGCCUGAGCUUUUUUUUUUCUUUUCUUUUCUUUUCUUUUUAUGAUGAUUGCUUGAGCCUGAGCUUGUUUGCCAGAUGCUUUCACUAGCCCAAGCUUGUUUUGUGGAUGCUUUCUGCUGCCAGCUACUUUGUAGUCCCUCCUGUGUGACAGCAUCUUGCCAUCAACGGGCUGCAGAAGAAGGGGUGCUUGUUGCUAUUGUGAGCAAACACUGCAUAAACAAUCAGCUCACAUGUGUGUCCCAGAGCGUAUGACCAAUGACCUGGAGAACUCUCAGGCUGUGGGGUGGAGAGAAGGCCAUUCUGAGGUCAACUGAAACCUCACUUGAGGGGCAGUUCCGUAGAUGGGAAUGAGGAGAGAGUCAUGGCCACAGCCACCUGGCCAAGGAGAGAGGCCAUAACUGCCAGACAGAACCAAGGAUGGAGGGACUUCAGCAGCACGAACAAUCCACACUCAGCAUGGGUCACUCUCUGGGACACACAUUUCCCUCUGGCUGAAAGGCUGAGCUGCUCCAGGGCCAACUGUGAGGAAGAAGAGACCACUCACCUGUAAUUUCAACAGCAACAAAAGACCUGAGGUUCCACCAUCAGAACUUCACGCCCUAAGGAAGAUGCAGCAUUUCCUGUAAAAUGCAAGUGCUCCCAGGCAGAGGUAGCUCCCGAAGCCAUGAUCAGUUAUGUAUACCUUAGUGGCAGCUGAUUAACAGACUCUUCCCCAGAGCCAGCUGACAGGAAGCACAUCGGGGUAAAAGGGAAGAUGAAAACUUGGGUGCCUGGAGGAAGGGAACAAAUGCGAGCAGGAGCAUGGUAAUAACAUAGAGCCAGAAUUGAUUUCGUGGCUUUCUUUCUCCUCUUCUGGGAUUUUGUGCCCUAUUGCCACAGAAACCCUGGGCCCCUUCCCCAGCUGUCAUGAAGGUGCCUGAGUGAUGGUCAGAGAGAUGACCGGAGGGGCCCACCCGGCCACCGCAGCAGCAGCAGCCAAGGCGGGACUAAGCCUCCACACCCCACAUCUCAGUCGUGGCCAGCCCGGGAUGCCUGCCUCUCCUGCCCUGUGGUGUUGCUGUCCUCAUAUGACCCUUCAGUCCCCCGACAUCUGGACAGGCUUUAGGGACCUGCUUGAGCAGAACAUGGUAGAAGUGAUGGACUGGGGCUUCUGAGGCUAAGCCAUAAGAAGCCUUGAGAAUUUCACCUGGCCCUCACUGUCUCUGGGAGCCCUGAGCCAUGAUAGAAGAAGUCCUUCCUAUAUUGAAUGUCCUUGAGACCUCCAGUACUGGAAAGGGCAUUUGUAGAUGCUCAGACCAACAGUCCAAACUGAGCCCAGUCUGCCAACUUGCCCUGCCAAGGUGUCAGAUGCAUAUGUGAAUGAGACCAUCCUAGACCUGCUGAUAGCCCAUCACCCGGCUGACUGCUACUGAGUAACCUCUGCCAACUUCACGCCGAACACAGAACUGCUGAUUUGAACUCUGCCUGAAUUUCUUGGCCCACAGAACAAUGAGAUAUAAUUAAAAGGCAAUGGUUCAAGCCA
rnacentral:lncRNA from 1 species